GACAGAGGUGCCAAGCGUUAGGCGGAGUCACUGGGCUUAAAGCGUGUGUAGGCGGAUCGUUAAGUGUCUUGUGAAAUCCCACGGCUCAACCGUGGAACUGCUCGACAUACUGGCGAUCUUGAGCAACCUAGGGGCGAGCGGAACAAAUGGUGGAGCGGUGAAAUGCGUAGAUAUCAUUUGGAACGCCAAUGGUGAAAACAGCUCGCUGGGGGUUUGCUGACGCUGAGACACGAAAGCCAGGGGAGCGAACGGG
rnacentral:rRNA from 1 species